CCUACGGGUGGUAGCAGUGGGGAAUAUUGGACAAUGGGCGAAAGCCUGAUCCAGCCAUGCCGCGUGUGUGAAGAAGGCCUUCGGGUUGUAAAGCACUUUCAGUGGGGAAGAAAGCCUUGGGGCUAAUACCCUCGAGGAAGGACAUCACCCACAGAAGAAGCACCGGCUAACUCCGUGCCAGCAGCCGCGGUAAUACGGAGGGUGCGAGCGUUAAUCGGAAUUACUGGGCGUAAAGCGCGCGUAGGCGGUCUGAUAAGCCGGUUGUGAAAGCCCCGGGCUCAACCUGGGAACGGCAUCCGGAACUGUCAGGCUAGAGUGCAGGAGAGGAAGGUAGAAUUCCCGGUGUAGCGGUGAAAUGCGUAGAGAUCGGGAGGAAUACCAGUGGCGAAGGCGGCCUUCUGGACUGACACUGACGCUGAGGUGCGAAAGCGUGGGUAGCAAACAGGAUUAGAUACCCUAGUAGUC
rnacentral:rRNA from 1 species